rnacentral:rRNA from 1 species
AUUGAACGCUGGCGGCAGGCCUAACACAUGCAAGUCGAACGAGUGGCGGACGGGUGAGUAAUGUCUGUGAAACUUCCCGAUGUCGGGGGAUAACUCCUGUAAACGGUAGCUAAUACCGCAUACCCUCGGAUAUGCCCAGAUGGGAUGAGCUAGUAGGUGGGGUAACGGCUCACCUAGGCGACGAUCCAUAGCUGGUAUGAUAGGAUGACCAGCAAAGCUGGAACUGAGAAACGGGCCAGACUCCUACGGGAGGAAGCAGUGGGGAAUAUUGCACAAUGGGCGAAAGACGGAUGCAGACAGGCCGCGUGUAUGAAGAAGGCCUUCGGGUUGUAAAGUACUUUCAGCGAAGAGGCGUUACUCGCAGAAGAAGCACCGGCUAACUCCGUGCCAGCAGCCGCGGUAAUUC